GUGCGCAAUGAUGGUAUACCAUCUUUCGGGUCUGAUCUUGAUGAGACAGUUUGUUGCUGAGCGCAC
rnacentral:snoRNA from 1 species